rnacentral:rRNA from 1 species
CUUUUACAAUGAAGAGUUUGAUCCUGGCUCAGGAUGAACGCUAGCUACAGGCUUAACACAUGCAAGUCGAGGGGCAGCAUUUUAGUUUGCUUGCAAACUGAAGAUGGCGACCGGCGCACGGGUGAGUAACACGUAUCCAACCUGCCGAUAACUCCGGGAUAGCCUUUCGAAAGAAAGAUUAAUACCGGAUGGCAUACGAAUAUCGCAUGAUAUUUUUAUUAAAGAAUUUCGGUUAUCGAUGGGGAUGCGUUCCAUUAGUUUGUUGGCGGGGUAACGGCCCACCAAGACUACGAUGGAUAGGGGUUCUGAGAGGAAGGUCCCCCACAUUGGAACUGAGACACGGUCCAAACUCCUACGGGAGGCAGCAGUGAGGAAUAUUGGUCAAUGGGCGAGAGCCUGAACCAGCCAAGUAGCGUGAAGGAUGAAGGCUCUAUGGGUCGUAAACUUCUUUUAUAUGGGAAUAAAGUUUUCCACGUGUGGAAUUUUGUAUGUACCAUAUGAAUAAGGAUCGGCUAACUCCGUGCCAGCAGCCGCGGUAAUACGGAGGAUCCGAGCGUUAUCCGGAUUUAUUGG